GCCGGGUGUGGUGGCUCACGCCUGUAAUCCCAGCACUUUGGGAAGCCGAGGCAGGCGGAUCACCUGAGGUCAGGAGUUCUAGACCAGCCUGACCAACAUGGAGAAACCCUGUCUCUA
ensembl:misc_RNA Metazoa_SRP Metazoan signal recognition particle RNA